AUUGAACGCUGGCGGCAGGCUUAACACAUGCAAGUCGAGCGAGCGGCGGACGGGUGAGUAAUGUCUGGGAAACUGCCUGAUGGCGGGGGAUAACUACUGGAAACGGUAGCUGAUACCGCAUACCAUCAGAUGUGCCCAGGUGGGAUUAGCUGGUAGGUGGGGUAAUGGCUCACCUAGGCGACGAUCCCUAGCUGGUCUGAGAGGAUGACCAGCAACAUGGGAAUUGAGAACCGGUCCAGACUCUGAGGGGAGGAAGAGGUGGGGAACAUCGGACAAUGGGCGCAAGCCUGCCGCAGACCUGCCGCGGGUUUGAAGAAGGCCUUCGGGCUGUAAAGUCCGUUCAGAGGGGAGGCGGUACUCGCAGAAGAAGCACCGGCUAACUCCGUGCCAGCAGCCGCGGUAAUUC
rnacentral:rRNA from 1 species